GCCGGGUUGGCCGAAUGGUUAGGCACCUACCUUGUAAGUAGCGACCAUGGGGGUUCGAGUCCCUCACCCGGCACCA
rnacentral:tRNA from 10 species